ACUAUAUAUAUAUAUAUAUAUAUAUAUAUAUAUAUAUAUAUAUAUAUAUAAAAUUGAGCUAGAAUACUUUUAAAAGUAUCACCCCAUUAGUGCUUUUAGGUUUUUAGCUCUUGGAUCUACUCCUUCAUUACUAAUAGUCCUUGGAUCAAACACACUAUUCCACCUAUCACCACCUACCACAAUCAUCACAACCUUACAUUCCUCCAUCCAAUAGUUAAAAAUUCAAAAGCACCACCUCAUUGGUGCUUUUGAAUGUAUUCUAGCUCAACAAUAUAUAUAAUUGAGCUAGAGUACUUUUAAAAGUAUCACCCCAUUGGUGCUUUUAGAUUUCUAGCCCUUGGAUCUACUCCAUUACUAAUAGCCUUUGAAUCAAACACUAUUCUACCUACCACAACCUACCACCAUCAUCACAACCAUACGUUCCUCCAUCCAAUGGUUAAAAACUAAAAGCACCACCUCAUUGGUGCUUUUGAGAGUAUUCUAGCUCAACUCCAAUAUAUGUAUAUAUAUGGAACAAUUGAAGAUGUAUCCCUACAAAAUUAGCAUAUUUCACAUUUAUUCCUCCAAACUUCAAACUACGGCGUAUAUUUGUACAAAUUGAAAAUUUUUUAAAGACUAAACUACAUAAAACUCUCGUCAAUAUCCUCUUUUUCACUUUUUCCUCAUGUCAUUUAAAAUCUACACUUUGCCCUCUUAUAAAAUGAAAAAUAUUUACAGGGGAAACGGUGUGAACUGUGAUGACGAAAUGAUCAAUUUGCCUCUCAUCAUUUUUGUCUCCUCCCUCAUCUGGCUCAUCCGGCGCCUCUUCUCUUCCAUUUCUCGCGCCUCGAUCGGUCGCAGUUCUUCUUUACCUACUCUCUUUCUCCUCCUGCACUCUCGUCGCCCCUCCAUUUCGGCGAUAAUAGGGAAGAAAUCGAGGUGGGCAUAGAUAGAGAGGUGAGCAAGGGCAACGGGAGCGAACGCGAGGCGGCGGAGGAGGACUAGGGGGUGUUUGUCGGCAUAGACGGAGAUGUGGGAAAUGACGAGGCAGCAGAGGGCAUGGCGGCGAGGAAAGGAGAAUGAGGUUAUUUUUGGUAUAAAAAAUAUAUAAUAACAUUUUAUAAACGAAAUCCUAACACAGCACUAACGACAGGGGAUGAAGCGUGAACAUUUUUUACAAUGGAACAAAUUGUAGGUUGUUAAAUAAUAUGAAAAAGUGAAAAAACUGAUAUCGAUGGGAAAAAUUUCUGUAAUUUAGCCAUUUUUAAAUAUAUCACUUGACUAGUUAAAAGACACCAAAUUUUGGUUAAAAG
rnacentral:lncRNA from 1 species